rnacentral:rRNA from 1 species
CCCUUAGAUGUUCGGGGCCGCACGCGCGCUACACUGAAGGAAUCAGCACGUCUUUCUCCUUGUCCGAAAGGACUGGGUAACCCGCUGAACCUCCUUCGUGCUAGGGAUUGGGGCUUGUAAUUCUUCCCCAUGAACGAGGAAUUCCCAGUAAGCGCGAGUCAUAAGCUCGCGUUGAUUACGUCCCUGCUCUUUGUACACACCGCCCGUCGCUACUACCGAUUGGAUGGUUUAGUGAGAUCCUCGGAUUGGUCCCGGAGCGGCCUCUGGUCGUGCCGGAGUGCCGAAAAGAAUGUCGAACUUGAUCAUCUAGAGGAAGUAAAAGUCGUAACA